rnacentral:lncRNA from 1 species
AUGAGGGCCAGGCAUAUUUGCGCAGCUGUCCAUUUCCCAAGCGCCGAGUGCAUGAGUGUGGGCCCGCUGGAGACUAUUUGUUUGUCAAAGUCACUAUGGCUGCGAUCUAUGCCAGAAACAAGGAAGAAGGAGAGACUGUGCUCCAAGAGAGAGUUGGGAUGCAAGGAGAGCCAAACAGAUGCCCUCAUAAUUCCUAACUUGUCUCCUUGCUGCCUUCGUCCUUCCAGAUGCUCACUAACUUGUCAUCUCCCAUUCUUUUGUGGAGUAUAGGCCUAUAGAGAAAAUGUAUGCACCCCAUGCAAAUGUGUUAUUUUCUUAACAUAUUUUGAACUGCUAUUCCCUGCAGCAAUAAGUAAAUUAAAUGAAAGCAAUGCACAGAUGCAACUGUAAACACAAAACAUAACCAGAGCUAACACUAGAGGCAAACAUGCAGCGCUAAUGGUGUAAUAAUAAAUAAAUGUUGUUGUUUUUUAUUGUGGUGAACCUGCUGUACUGUAAUAAAAGCCAACUCCAUCUACAUGUUUCGUGUGUUCCCUGCUAAGAUCUUUCUUUGUAAAUGGAUUUUCGUCAUGUAAAUAUUGAUUCCUGCAGUGUCCCAAAUGUAUGGCAGGGUUUCGGGAAUAGUGCUACUUGAAUUUUCAUCCGGGUAAGGUGAUAGUUUCAGGUAUCUGAAACAGUGCUAAAAGCAAAGAGCAUGACUUUAUUAUUCAUCUACUGAUAGGAUAAAAAUUUGUUUUGUCAUAAUGUGGUCCAUCACCUACUAGAUGAAGAGCGGGAUGCCAUGGACAUCCUAAAAUCUUCGAAUUGUGUUUCACAAAUUGUGACUUUAACAAUUAAUUACAACGAUACUGCAAGUUAAGAAAAUGAAUAAUUGGAUACAUGAGUAUCUCCUAUUUGUGAACUAGCUGGUAUUGACCAUGUUCAAUAACUAAAGGAGCUAAAGAAUAAAUUAUAGUGCUUUAUGGCCUUUGCUUGGCUUCAAGCAAGCUAAUCUUGUUACAAAGCUUGAUGGAAAAAAAUGCAUAUCAAAUUAGCAAUGACAAAUGACCCAUUAUCAAGUUUAAAUAUGUUAACAGUGCUGAGAUAUGUCUGAGCUCCCUAAGACGGUGCUUGGUAUUCAGUGAACGUAUAUAUUGCUUUAUACAAACCUUGUGCGUCUUGACCUAAAUCGCUGCAUGGUCAGUGACCUGUACUGCCCCAAGAGCUUCACCUUCCCUCUCUCUAAGACUUGCAUUUUUCAG